CGCAAACAUUGUACCCACCGCAGGAAAGUCCGCCGCAAGAAGAUCCACCGCCCACGACGACCGGGAUUUGUUCCGCGCACCAAUUGGUAGUAUAGCUUGGUACGAAAUAGUCCUCAAUGUCUGGUCGUAGCGGGUACACCGGCGAGGGUGGGGAUUCGAUCAUGUCGUGGCCACGUUCUACUUCUCCUACCUCGUCGGAAGUGCAGUUAGCCAGGAAAGCCGAUGAUCCAUGGUACAUUGCAUACCAAGAUGAAUCAACCCAGUGGUGUAGCCAGAGGAUGGAUUUGGAGGAGAAGGUGGCCAAUUUAG